rnacentral:rRNA from 1 species
GGGAGGAAGGUGGGGAUGACGUCAAGUCAGCAUGGCCCUUAUGCCCUGGGCUACACACACGCUACAAUGGGUGGUACAAUUGGUUGCGACAGAGCGAUCUGAAGCCAAUCCUAAAAACCAUCCUCAGUUCGGAUUGCAGGCUGAAACUCGCCUGCAUGAAGCUGGAGUUGCUAGUAACCGCAUAUCAGCACGGUGCGGUGAAUACGUUCUCGGGCCUUGUACACACCGCCCGUCACGUCAUGAAAGUUGGCAACACCUGAAGUCGAUGGGCUAACCCCAGCUUGCUGGGGAGGCAGUCGCCGAAGGUGGGGCUGAUGAUUGGGACGAAGUCGUAACAAGGUAGCCGUAGCGGAAGCUGCGGCUGGAUCACCUCCUU